GGGGAAUUUUGGACAAUGGGCGCAAGCCUGAUCCAGCCAUGCCGCGUGUCUGAAGAAGGCCUUCGGGUUGUAAAGGACUUUUGUCAGGGAAGAAAAGGCUGUCGCUAAUACCGACAGUUGAUGACGGUACCUGAAGAAUAAGCACCGGCUAACUACGUGCCAGCAGCCGCGGUAAUACGUAGGGUGCGAGCGUUAAUCGGAAUUACUGGGCGUAAAGCGAGCGCAGACGGUUACUUAAGCAGGAUGUGAAAUCCCCGGGCUCAACCUGGGAACUGCGUUCUGAACUGGGUGACUAGAGUGUGUCAGAGGGAGGUAGAAUUCCACGUGUAGCAGUGAAAUGCGUAGAGAUGUGGAGGAAUACCGAUGGCGAAGGCAGCCUCCUGGGAUAACACUGACGUUCAUGCUCGAAAGCGUGGGUAGCAAACAGGAUUAGACACCCUGGUAGUCCACGCCCUAAACGAUGUCAAUUAGCUGUUGGGCAACUUGAUUGCUUAGUAGCGUAGCUAACGCGUGAAAUUGACCGCCUGGGGAGUACGGUCGCAAGAUUA
rnacentral:rRNA from 1 species